GAGAGGUAACGGCUCACCAAGGCAUCGACGGGUAGCUGGUCUGAGAGGAUGAUCAGCCACACUGGGACUGAGACACGGUCCAGACUCCUACGGGAGGCAGCAGUGGGGAAUCUUGCACAAUGGGCGAAAGCCUGAUGCAGCGAUGCCGCGUGCGGGAAGAAGGCCUUAGGGUUGUAAACCGCUUUCAGGAGGGAAGAAAAUGACGGUACCUCCAGAAGAAGGUGCGGCCAACUACGUGCCAGCAGCCGCGGUGACACGUAGGCACCAAGCGUUAUCCGGAUUUAUUGGGCGUAAAGAGCUCGUAGGCGGUUUGGUAAGUCGGGUGUGAAAACUCUGGGCUCAACCCAGAGAGGCCACUCGAUACUGCUAUGACUAGAGUACGGUAGGGGAGCGGGGAAUUCCUGGUGUAGCGGUGAAAUGCGCAGAUAUCAGGAGGAACACCAGCGGCGAAGGCGCCGCUCUGGGCCGUAACUGACGCUGAGGAGCGAAAGCAUGGGUAGCAAACAGGAUUAGAUACCCUGGUAGUCCAUGCCGUAAACGUUGGGCACUAGGUGUGGGUCUCAACCAACGAGAUCCGCGCCGUCGCUAACGCAUUAAGUG
rnacentral:rRNA from 1 species